UGAAAGAUCGAGUUCCUGUACGAACACAGAAGUUAAGCAACUUCGAGCCUGGUCAGUAUCUUGAUGUGAGACCGUUUGGAAAUAUCACGUGCUGUAAG